GACGAACGCUGGCGGCGUGCUUAACACAUGCAAGUCGUACGGUAAGGCCCUUUCGGGGGUACACGAGUGGCGAACGGGUGAGUAACACGUGAGUAACCUGCCCACAACUUUGGGAUAACGCUAGGAAACUGGUGCUAAUACUGGAUAUGUGCUCCUGCUGCAUGGUGGGGGUUGGAAAGCUCCGGCGGUUGUGGAUGGACUCGCGGCCUAUCAGCUUGUUGGUGGGGUAGUGGCCUACCAAGGCGGCGACGGGUAGCCGGCCUGAGAGGGUGACCGGCCACAUUGGGACUGAGAUACGGCCCAGACUCCUACGGGAGGCAGCAGUGGGGAAUAUUGCACAAGGGGCGCAAGCCUGAUGCAGCAACGCCGCGUGCGGGAGAACGGCCUUCGGGUUGUAAACCGCUUUCAGCAGGGACGAAGCUUUUUGUGACGGUACCUGCAGAAGAAGCACCGGCUAACUACGUG
rnacentral:rRNA from 1 species